rnacentral:misc_RNA from 1 species
UGAGUUGUUCCGGACUUGCUUUUGAAACGGGCUCCCCGCAUAUUUGUGCGGUCAACUGUUUCAGAGCUUGUUUCUUUAGCGUCCCGCCCGAUGCUCAUAUUUAGCUUGGGCGGUGUGAUGAAUGGUUUGGUGCCUGUGUUGGCUACUUAUUUUGGGAUAAUGCUGGUUUUGUUACUACGGCAUGUCUUGUUGCCUUUGAUUAUGAUUUUGAUAAAGUUGCGUGGGCAAUUGAAACAUUGGCUUUUUUUGGGAGUGAUCGAUGGGUCUCGACUCGUCCGCAGCUCGCAUCAUAUUAUAUGAGCAGCUCUUUCGGAUACGGUGGCUAUGUGGGUACUUGUGGUCCUCUUCGGUCCGCAUGUGACCUUGUAGUACACCCGUAAAAGUUGAACGUGCGGUUGGAUCUUGUGGCAUCUUGGUGUUCCUGUUUUUGCUGUCAUGCUGGAGCAAAGGCGGGGCGUGGGGAUGCAGAUGCUGGCUUACGGGGGCGUUGCUGUACGUGUGGGUGUUCUAUGAAUUAUUAGUGAUUGCCGUUGCGUGCGUGCGUAUUGGUAUCCCGUCCGGGAGUGCCUCAGCAGCUCGCAGGCUCACUAUUUUGACUUGCUACCUGGUUGAUCCUGCCAGUAGUCU